rnacentral:rRNA from 1 species
UACGUAGGGGGCAAGCGUUGUCCGGAUUUAUUGGGCGUAAAGGGCGCGUAGGCGGCUUUAUAAGUCGGGGGUGAAAGCCUGUGGCUCAACCACAGAAUUGCCUUCGAUACUGUAGAGCUUGAGACCGGAAGAGGUAAGUGGAACUGCGAGUGUAGAGGUGAAAUUCGUAGAUAUUCGCAAGAACACCAGUGGCGAAGGCGGCUUACUGGUCCGGUUCUGACGCUGAGGCGCGAAAGCGUGGGGAGCAAACAGG